GCCAGGUCCCUGCUGAUCAAGUCCCAACUGACCAGGUCCUGCUAACUAGGUCAUCUCUGACCAUGGUCCACUGAUGAGGCCCCUGUGCAGCGGUGCUCAACGUCUCAUUACAAUGCCCCAAUCAGCCCACAGACCCUCCCUCCCUGCAUGUGUGCCCAGAGAUCAGGCGUUAACCUACAAAAAGAAAUUCAUAACAUUAGUAUGGACAAACCUGGCAGGUACUCCUUAAGUAUCCUACUAUAUAUAGUAAUAAAACCUGCAAAAUGCAAAGAAGCCUUCGACGACCUUUACUAAAGUAUCAAGGAUGACUUGGUUGUUUGGCUUAUUAAACAGCUGACAUUCGGGCAAUUUGAGUAUGUCAAACUCCAUAAUACUGGUGUUCAUUUGCAAG
rnacentral:lncRNA from 1 species